CCCUUAGAUGUUCGGGGCCGCACGCGCGCUACACUGAAGGAAUCAGCACGUCUUUCUCCUUGUCCGAAAGGACUGGGUAACCCGCUGAACCUCCUUCGUGCUAGGGAUUGGGGCUUGUAAUUCUUCCCCAUGAACGAGGAAUUCCCAGUAAGCGCGAGUCAUAAGCUCGCGUUGAUUACGUCCCUGCCCUUUGUACACACCGCCCGUCGCUACUACCGAUUGGGAAAAUUUUAGAGAGUCCUGGACUGAUGAUUGUUCGGCUUCACGGCCUUACUUUCGUCGGGAAAGAAUUCGAUAAUAUUUUUCUAGAGGAAGUAAAAGUCGUAACA
rnacentral:rRNA from 1 species